GAAGAUGACAGUGUGGUCCAUGAUAAUUUGCCAUCUGGAUGCAGUCCACUUUUUGACACCGUGGUGUGGGACGGUCCAGAUGAAGUGAGCACUCCAAGAAUGGAUAACAUUUUGCAUGGACACCCAAAACCAGCAGCUGAUCAGGAUGGAAGAAAAACCGCGGUCCAGGAAGAGGUCAAAUCAGCCCAAGGUCAGACAAACUUCUACAGAAACUACACAAAUGUGUAUGCACCAAUUGUUAUUGACAGCGAGUCUGAGCCAGAAGAACACAUGGAGCACA